GCGAAGCCAACUUCAAGAUAAGAUUUCCCACCGCAAGGGUAAGACCCCAGAAAGACUAUCUGGUUGAUAGGUCGAAGGUGUAAGUGCAGCAAUGUAUUUAGCUUAUCGAUACUAAUAGGUCGAGGACUUGACCAA
rnacentral:rRNA from 1 species